GGAAAUUAUUGUCUUUGGCCUCUGGUUCUGCGAGCCGAUUGUGUUUUCGUACCGUCAACCUCCAGUCACAAAUGCUGGAAUCUGCUUUAUAAGGCAAUAGGAAAAAGACAGAAGCCAAAAUACAAGGAUUCUACUCAAGCCUUCUGGAAAGGACUGUGUUGCCUUUGAUGCAUGGAGCAAAGAAUUCUUAGAUUUUCCUGCCAGCCCCUGAAACCGGACCUGUGAUGUCAAACUUUCAACCCCAACCUUGAGUGGACAGAGGCAGGAGGA
rnacentral:lncRNA from 1 species